rnacentral:rRNA from 1 species
UCAGUCGACUCCUACGGGGAGGCAGCAGUGGGGGAAUAUUGCACAAUGGGCGCAAGCCUGAUGCAGCCAUGCCGCGUGUGUGAAGAAGGCCUUCGGGUUGUAAAGCACUUUCAGUCGUGAGGAAGGUAGUGUAGUUAAUAGCUGCAUUAUUUGACGUUAGCGACAGAAGAAAGCACCGGCUAACUCCGUGCCAGCAGCCGCGGUAAUACGGAGGGUGCGAGCGUUAAUCGGAAUUACUGGGCGUAAAGCGCAUGCAGGUGGUUUGUUAAGUCAGAUGUGAAAGCCCGGGGCUCAACCUCGGAAUUGCAUUUGAAACUGGCAGACUAGAGUACUGUAGAGGGGGGUAGGAAUUUCAGGUGUAGCGGUGAAAUGCGUAGAGGUCUGAAGGAAUACCGGUGGCGAAGGCGGCCCCCUGGACAGAUACUGACACUCAGAUGCGAAAGCGUGGGGAGCAAACAGGAUUAGAUACCCUGGUAG